GACAUACAAAAUUCUCAAAAAAAAAAAAAAUUUGUCUGAAAACUACCCAUUCCUCUAGUUUUUUCAUACCCAUGUUUUAUUUUUAAAAUAAAAAACCUCUUACAUAUUUUGAGUUUGCCAUGUGUUUUGGAUUGAAUAAAAUUUGAAGAAUGAUGGUGACAAGAAUUUACAAAUCUUCAAUUUUUUAGUUGUUUCUUUACUUGAUGAGUUAUUGCGAAAGAUGAUUUAAAAAUGACUUCAAAUGA
rnacentral:lncRNA from 1 species